AUUGAACGCUGGCGGCAGGCCUAACACAUGCAAGUCGAGCGAGCGGCGGACGGAUGAGUAAUGUCUGGGAAACCGCCUGAUGGAGGGGGAUAACUACUGGAAACGGUAGCUAAUACCGCAUAACAUCAGAUGUGCCCAGAUGGGAUUAGCUAGUAGGUGGGGUAACGGCUCACCUAGGCGACGAUCCCUAGCUGGUCUGAGCGGAUGACCAGCCAGACUGGAACUGAGACACGGUCCAGACUCCUACGGGAGGGAGCAGGGGGGAAUAUUGCAAAAUGGGGGCAAGCAUGAUGCAGCCAUGCCGGGGGUGUGAAGAAGGCCUUCGGGUUGUAAAGCACUGUCAGCGGGGAGGCGUUAACCGCAGAAGAAGCACCGGCUAACUCAGUGCCAGCAGCCGCGGGAUAC
rnacentral:rRNA from 1 species